AUGAUUUUCCAGGCGAAAUUGACUACAAAAUUAGGUACGAUUUGGCUUUAAAACAUGUCAAUGGAGAUCCUCCACCAUUUACUAGAAUGACAAAUAAAUUGUUGUUUUGCCUUGCUGCCGAAGCCUCUGAGGCUUACAAGUAUGCAGUCAAGAUGGUAUCGGUUUACGAAUCACACAUAUUCAUGCGCUGGCUGGAUAGAAAACAGAAACUUCAUGCUAAGGUUCAAUGCACAAAGGAUCUUUCUGCUAAUGAUGGUUUGAUAUGUCUUGAUAAUUUAAUUAGGGAACUUCCAACUUAUUGUGAUCGGAAAACAGGAGCCAUGAUUUACUGUGAGAGUUAUUAG
rnacentral:lncRNA from 1 species